GUCGAACGAUGAACCACUUCGGUGGGGAUUAGUGGCGAACGGGUGAGUAACACGUGGGCAAUCUGCCCUUCACUCUGGGACAAGCCCUGGAAACGGGGUCUAAUACCGGAUAGCACUCCUGCAGGCAUCUGUGGGGGUUGAAAGCUCCGGCGGUGAAGGAUGAGCCCGCGGCCUAUCAGCUUGUUGGUGAGGUAACGGCUCACCAAGGCGACGACGGGUAGCCGGCCUGAGAGGGCGACCGGCCACACUGGGACUGAGACACGGCCCAGACUCCUACGGGAGGCAGCAGUGGGGAAUAUUGCACAAUGGGCGCAAGCCUGAUGCAGCGACGCCGCGUGAGGGAUGACGGCCUUCGGGUUGUAAACCUCUUUCAGCAGGGAAGAAGCGCAAGUGACGGUACCUGCAGAAGAAGCGCCGGCUAACUACGUGCCAGCAGCC
rnacentral:rRNA from 1 species